CAACCUACCUAUCAGAGGGGAAUAACCCGGCGAAAGUCGGACUAAUACCGCAUAAAACAGGGGCACCGCAUGGUGAUAUUUGUUAAAGAAAUUCGCUGAUAGAUGGGCAUGCGUUCCAUUAGGUAGUUGGUGAGGUAACGGCUCACCAAGCCGACGAUGGAUAGGGGAACUGAGAGGUUGGUCCCCCACACUGGUACUGAGACACGGACCAGACUCCUACGGGAGGCAGCAGUGAGGAAUAUUGGUCAAUGGGCGGGAGCCUGAACCAGCCAAGUCGCGUGAAGGAAGAAGGAUCUAUGGUUCGUAAACUUCUUUUGCAGGGGAAUAAAGUGCAGGACGUGUCCUGUUUUGUAUGUACCCUGAGAAUAAGGAUCGGCUAACUCCGUGCCAGCAGCCGCGGUAAUACGGAGGAUCCGAGCGUUAUCCGGAUUUAUUGGGUUUAAAGGGUGCGUAGGUGGUUUGAUAAGUCAGCGGUGAAAGUUUGCAGCUUAACUGUAAAAAUGCCGUUGAAACUGUCGGACUUGAGUGUAAAUGGGGUAGGCGGAAUGCGUGGUGUAGCGGUGAAAUGCAUAGAUAUCACGAAGAACUCCGAUUG
rnacentral:rRNA from 1 species